UUUCAGAGCAUUGGCGAUAUU
rnacentral:piRNA from 1 species